CAGCCGCCGCGGGAAUACGUAGGUGGCAAGCGUUGUCCGGAUUUAUUGGGCGUAAAGCGAGCGCAGGCGGUUUCUUAAGUCUGAUGUGAAAGCCCCCGGCUCAACAGGGGAGGGUCAUUGGAAACUGGGAGACUUGAGUGCAGAAGAGGAGAGUGGAAUUCCAUGUGUAGCGGUGAAAUGCGUAGAUAUAUGGAGGAACACCAGUGGCGAAGGCGGCUCUCUGGUCUGUAACUGACGCUGAGGCUCGAAAGCGUGGGGAGCGAACAGGAUUGGAUACCCCGGUAGUCCCUGUCUCUUAUAC
rnacentral:rRNA from 1 species